rnacentral:rRNA from 1 species
GACGUAGGGCGCGAGCGUUGUCCGGAUUUAUUGGGCGUAAAGAGCUCGUAGGCGGCUUGUCGCGUCGACUGUGAAAUCCCGCGGCUCAACUGCGGGUCUGCAGUCGAUACGGGCAGGCUAGAGUUCGGUAGGGGAGACUGGAAUUCCUGGUGUAGCGGUGAAAUGCGCAGAUAUCAGGAGGAACACCAAUGGCGAAGGCAGCACUCUGGGACGUGACUGACGCUGAGACGCGAAAGCGUGGGGAGCAAACAGG